UGCUCAUGGGCAAGCAGUAAGGCUGUCUUAUAUAUUCGCAAUGCCGAAUGCGAAGAAACCAUCGAUGCCCAGGGCAGCGAGCUGGCUAGGUAGAGUCGAGACCGAGAGAAAUGGAACAUGGCAUCAUCUUUGUGAUGCUCCUGGCCAUGGCGGCCACCGUCGGAGCGCGGUCAGGAGCCACGGCGCAGCCAUCCUGCAUCCCCACUGCAGAUGGCGCCCCUCGCAUGCACGCCGGAGCAGUGCCCCCGUCGGUCGCCGCCAACUCGUCCCCGGCGCUUCAUCGUCUGCAUCGUCCUGCCAGAGGACUGCCAACGCACCCAGCUCCGGCGGAUCAUGAACCGCGGUCACUCGCCCGGCCGCUUCCUCGUCUGCCUCGUCCGGCCAGAGGACUACCGACAACACCAACUCCCGUGGAUCAUGAGCCGUGGUCACCACCGCCGCCCGCCAUGCAAGGGUGAUUAGUUUAUGAAAGUGCAGCCGUGCCUGUUUCUCAGUACGUUGCUGUUGAUCACCUGGCAAAAAGAAAAGACCCAGUGUCGUCGCUUUAAUAUUCUGUAUCCUGUAGUGUAGUUCAGUCUAGUUCCAGUUUUUGUCAGCGUGCAAGUUCUAGUCUACAUUUUUUGCUUAAACAUCACUGUAAUAAGUUCUUUAGGCCUUACAUCUAAAUUCGCGUCUUCUCUUGGAAUC